UAUGGGGCGCAUGGAUGAUCAUGGAGGGGAAGAAAGCGCAGGGGGCGCUCUAUGUGUGCGAUCGCCUGGCCCAAGACCUCCUCAAUCAUCCGCAGACGCCGGAGUUGUGCACCUGGGCGGACAAGAAGAAGUCGUCGGCUGCCCUCUACUGCCUCAGCAAUCACAAAUUGGGCAGGCAGGACGAGAUGCUGGGAUGGGGAAUCUGGGAAGCAAUGUGUGGAUGCGAUGCCAUAAGUCGCAAGGCUCCACACUUUCUUCGCGCUCUUGGAUUCAGAGAAGAAGAGGAGCUGGGCGAGGAGGAGCUGCUGGACGCGAUGGUGGUGGUCAUGCACGCGUCUUGCCUCACCACAUUUUCCCGACGGGCCGUGCUUUAGCACCAGCGUUGUGUUUGUGACGGGGAGCCAGCGCUUCUACCAGGCUUUGGCACGGGACGAGAACUCGCCUGCUCAUCACUUACGAGCUCCAAGUCUGUGCUUCGCCUUACAGGGCAAACUAUCGGGUCUGGCCGAUUCUUCCUGACCACACCGAGCCCGUGGAGCAGUGUAUCAUGCCCGGUGCCAGGCGAAGCAAGAAGAUCCCAGAGUGAAAAUUUUCCAGUCUCUUUCCUUCUUUUGUUUCUUUUUCAUAUUGUUUGCUUGUUUUUCUCAGGUUUGGAACUCCCUUUCGUGUUCCCUGUCCGACUAUACCCGGAAUCUACAAUGGUGAAUACUGUCGAUUGCCAGGGCUUCAUGAGCUGCUGGAUGUUUACGGCCAGGCCAAGCUUGAUCUUCCUGCAGAAGCUGCUUUGGAUAGGAGAAUACCCGGCAUACGUCGCCAAGCUCGAGCAAAGUUCUUCUUCCUGUGAUCAGCGACUGUUGUCGAGGUUGCAGAAGUUGCCGAAUAAGCAUCCGGGCUGCGCUAAGGUUGAAGCACCACACGUCUUUCGAGGGGACAAGGUAUGGAGGGAUUGAGCUAGAGAAAGUUCUCUUCCUCUUCUCUCUGAAAGUUCCAGCGUCAGGUUUUUGAUUCCAUCCCGGAUCAAAAUCUUCUCUGGCUAUGGGCGUCUGGAUCAAGCACUCGAGGUCUUCCACCACAUCCCGCGCAAGUCUCCAUGACUCUGAGAACGUAACAUAGUUUUGUGGCGGUAGCAAUUGGGAUGAGAGUUGCUAGUUUAAAUUAUUUAGUUUGCCAUUAUAUAAACAUAAACUUUCAAGCAA